UACGUAGGGGGCGAGCGUUGUCCGGAAUGACUGGGCGUAAAGGGUGCGUAGGCGGCCCGAGAGGUCCUGGGUGAAAGGCCCCGGCUCAACCGGGGAGGGCCCCAGGAAACCGGCGGGCUAGAGGGCUGGAGAGGGCCGCGGAAUUCCCGGUGUAGCGGUGAAAUGCGUAGAUAUCGGGAAGAACACCAGUGGCGAAGGCGGCGGCCUGGACAGAACCUGACGCUGAGGCACGAAAGCUGGGGGAGCGAACAGG
rnacentral:rRNA from 1 species